rnacentral:rRNA from 1 species
GAUGAACGCUGGCGGCGUGCCUAAUACAUGCAAGUCGAGCGAAUGGAUUAAGAGCUUGCUCUUAUGAAGUUAGCGGCGGACGGGUGAGUAACACGUGGGUAACCUGCCCAUAAGACUGGGAUAACUCCGGGAAACCGGGGCUAAUACCGGAUAACAUUUUGAACCGCAUGGUUCGAAAUUGAAAGGCGGCUUCGGCUGUCACUUAUGGAUGGACCCGCGUCGCAUUAGCUAGUUGGUGAGGUAACGGCUCACCAAGGCAACGAUGCGUAGCCGACCUGGGAGGGUGAUCGGCCACACUGGGACUGAGACACGGCGCAGACUCCUACGGGAGGCAGCAGUAGGGAAGCUUCCGCAAUGGACGAAAGUCUGACGGAGCAACGCCGCGUGAGUGGUGAAGGCUUUCGGGUCGUAAAACUCUGUUGUUAGGGAAGAACAAGUGCUAGUUGAAUAAGCUGGCACCUUGACGGUACCUAACCAGAAAGCCACGGCUAACUACGUGCCAGCCGCCGCAGUAA